GUAGUCCCCCUUCCUCAUCCCUGCCGUCCCUGUCGUCUCCACCAUACCUGGUUUUCGCUGAACAGGAUGUAACGUGUGUGCUGGACGGAACUAAUCUAGGUACACUGCUCACCAAAUCAGGUCAGUCCGAGCUUCCCUCCAUGUAGUGAGUAUUCCUCUCUGUUUAGUAUACGCUGCUUACAGGCCCUGAAGCACGAACCAAAAGAAGAAGGAAAAAAAUGCCUUCUCCAAGAAGGAUGCAAUGAUUCCUCUUUCUCAAUAAAGAAGCAAGCAACGAUUCCUCUUUCUCACUUCUCUCUGUGAUUCCUCCAAGAAAUAGAUUGUUGGCUCACCCUUUCCUCUCUCCAGAAAAUAAAUCCCAAUGAAGCUGCGCUCCUGUGUGCAGCUUGGACAGGCUCCUGCGACUCAGUUUAGGUUUGUGCGCGGCAACAGUCUAUGCUUGAGUUUCUCUUUGCCCAGUCUGAGAAGGCCUAUGCAGUUGCUAUAAGUGACAUGUACUUUGGAAUGCACACUAAAAAGAUGUAUCGACUACAGCACAUUACAAAAAUGCUAAGAUCCUAACUUUUGUUUUACAAGAAUACCCUGGGAGAUGCUUAUAGAAGAGAUGCCAAGAUGACCUUAUUAUGUUCAGAUUAGAAAGCAAAGAUCAAAUAAAAAAGGAUGCUCAUCUUCAACUUUUGUUGGAGUCGACCAAAAGACGAUCAACGUCUUUAACUGUCAUGUAAAAACGGUCGUUGCUACCAAUAACAUUUCACUGUGCCAGAUGUACCGUAAAUUAUGAUGUUAAUUAAUCAUAACUAAAUAUGCGCCAAAUAUGUUAUGCUUAAC